rnacentral:rRNA from 1 species
GGCGGCGUGCCUACACAUGCAAGUCGAACGGGAAUCUUCGGAUUCUAGUGGCGGACGGGUGAGUAACGCGUAAGAAUCUAACUUCAGGACGGGGACAACAGUUGGAAACGACUGCUAAUACCCGAUGUGCCGCAAGGUGAAACCUAAUUGGCCUGAAGAAGAGCUUGCGUCUGAUUAGCUAGUUGGUGGGGUAAAGGCCUACCAAGGCGACGAUCAGUAGCUGGUCUGAGAGGAUGAGCAGCCACACUGGGACUGAGACACGGCCCAGACUCCUACGGGAGGCAGCAGUGGGGAAUUUUCCGCAAUGGGCGAAAGCCUGACGGAGCAACGCCGCGUGAGGGAGGAAGGUCUUUGGAUUGUAAACCUCUUUUCUCAAGGAAGAAGUUCUGACGGUACUUGAGGAAUCAGCCUCGGCUAACUCCGUGCCAGCAGCCGCGGUAAUACGGGGGAGGCAAGCGUUAUCCGGAAUUAUUGGGCGUAAAGCGUCCGCAGGUGGUCAGCCAAGUCUGCUGUCAAAUCAGGUUGCUUAACGACCUAAAGGCGGUGGAAACUGGCAGACUAGAGAGCAGUAGGGGUAGCAGGAAUUCCCAGUGUAGCGGUGAAAUGCGUAGAGAUUGGGAAGAACAUCGGUGGCGAAAGCGUGCUACUGGGCUGUAUCUGACACUCAGGGACGAAAGCUAGGGGAGCGAAAGGGAUUAGAUACCCCUGUAGUCCUAGCCGUAAACGAUGGAUACUAGGCGUGGCUUGUAUCGACCCGAGCCGUGCCGAAGCUAACGCGUUAAGUAUCCCGCCUGGGGAGUAC